rnacentral:lncRNA from 1 species
CAUAUUAGUCUUUGUGCUUUGGCAAGACCCAUGUCAUGUCAGUCCCUGCACUUUGACAAGUUCCUCUUUUCCUCAUUACCAUAUCAGUCUUUGUGCCUUGGUAAAAUCCCUAGCAUAUUAGACCCGAUGCUUUUAUAGGUUCCUACUUUCCUUACUUACCAUGUCAAUUCAUGUGCUUUGGUAAGCCUUUUCUUUCCGGUUUAAACACCGCCCCCAAUCAUAUUUUUUCCUCGGUCUUUGUUCUCGGAACUACGGAGUGCUAACUUCCUUAUUGCACUUUAAGGAUACGUAGGCACGAGGACACGAAUCCUUGGCGAGCACUUUCCUUUUUUU